ACACAUUGAUGCUCACCAAAGAUAUACAUUAUUUAUACAUCAAUUAUAUACAACUAACUAUACUUAAUGUACACAAUUUCUCAUUAUACAUUAAUUAUUAAUUAAUCUCUUUUUCAUUUUCAGGAGCUAUUGGAUCAGGAAAGGAGCACCACAGUGCAUCUAGUCCAGGCCUUCCAAAUUCUACAGCCUGAUUCAACCACAUAAGGAUUAAUCUGCCCAUGCAAAGGCUUUCCCCCCACAUGGCAUUAGAUCAGAAUGUUGGGGUACUUAUACCUUUCACCAUAAGACUGCUCCGUGAUGGUUGGUUCUUCCUCUCUGUGUGGCGUAGAGGAUCUGUUACCAAGGGGCAGCCAUUUGAUGGCAUCUCUAUUAACAGAUGUAAUAAGUGCUCCAGCUCUUCAAACUCAAAUGAAGGAACAGAGCAGAAAUGUCUUGUCUCAGUUCCUCUCCACAAAUGGGUUGACUGUUUUCCUGUAUGAAAGUCUGAAGAGUGAUUGAGAACAUUUAUUGUUUAUCCACCAGCUUAGAAACUUAUUGAGCCAGAGCUGGGAAACAAACCACUUUCCCGUAUCAACUGUCAGUUUGGUUUCUCAUCACUGAAUAGCCAACAGGAAAAAAAGAAAUUGAUUUUUUUUCCUCUUGCCUCCUGUAUUAUGAGAACUGUUUGGGGUUCUCAAGACACAUUCUCAGGGAAGUUAUAUUUAGACAUAAAUUACCCUCGCCCCAGGUUCUUAAGUGAAUUUAUUCUCUCUGGAAGUCC
rnacentral:lncRNA from 1 species